rnacentral:rRNA from 1 species
AUUAGAGUUUGAUCCUGGCUCAGAACGAACGCUGGCGGCAGGCCUAACACAUGCAAGUCGAACGCCCUGGCAACAGGGAGUGGCAGACGGGUGAGUAACGCGUGGGAAUCUACCUUGUGGUACGGAACAACCAAGGGAAACUUUGGCUAAUACCGUAUGAGCCCUUCGGGGGAAAGAUUUAUCGCCAUAAGAUGAGCCCGCGUAGGAUUAGCUAGUUGGUGAGGUAAUGGCUCACCAAGGCGACGAUCCUUAGCUGGUCUGAGAGGAUGACCAGCCACACUGGGACUGAGACACGGCCCAGACUCCUACGGGAGGCAGCAGUGGGGAAUAUUGGACAAUGGGCGCAAGCCUGAUCCAGCCAUGCCGCGUGUGUGAUGAAGGCCUUAGGGUUGUAAAGCACUUUCGCCGAUGAAGAUAAUGACUGUAGUCGGAGAAGAAGCCCCGGCUAACUUCGUGCCAGCAGCCGCGGUAAUACGAAGGGGGCUAGCGUUGUUCGGAAUUACUGGGCGUAAAGCGUACGUAGGCGGAUUGUUAAGUGAGGGGUGAAAUCCCGAGGCUCAACCUCGGAACUGCCUUUCAUACUGGCAAUCUUGAGUCCGGGAGAGGUGAGUGGAACUCCUAGUGUAGAGGUGAAAUUCGUAGAUAUUAGGAAGAACACCAGUGGCGAAGGCGGCUCACUGGCCCGGAACUGACGCUGAGGUACGAAAGCGUGGGGAGCAAACAGGAUUAGAUACCCCGGUAGUCCACGCCGUAAACGAUGGAUGCUAGCUGUUAUCAGUAUCGAUCCUGGUAGUAGCGAAGCUAACGCGUUAAGCAUCCCGCCUGUGGAGUACGAGCGCAAGCUUAAAACAUAAAGGAAUUGACGGGGACCCGCACAAGCGGUGGAGCGUGUUGUUUAAUUCGAUGAUAAGCGUAGAACCUUACCAAGGUUUGACAUCCUUGUGAAGGUUUCCGAAAGGAAACUGUGCUUUUAGAACGCAGUGACAGGUGAUGCAUGGCCGUCGUCAGCUCGUGUCGUGAGAUGUAUGGUUAAGUCCAUUAACGAGCGCAACCCUUAUGGUCAGUUGAAUUUCUCUGGCUAGACUGCCCCGGUAACGGGGAGGAAGGAGGGGAUGAUGUCAGGUCAGUAUUUCCCUUACACCUUGGGCGACAAACACGCUACAAUGGCCGGUACAAUGGGCAGCCAACCCGUAAGGGGGAGCAAAUCCCAUCAAAGCCGGUCCCAGUUCGGAUCGAGGGCUGAAACUCGCCCUCGUGAAGCCGGAAUCGCUAGUAAUGGCAGGUCAGCACACUGCCGUGAAUACGUUCUCGGGUCUUGUACACACCGCCCGUCAAGUCAUGAAAGUCGCCAAUACCCGAAGUUCCAUCUUUGAUGGACCUAAGGUAGGGGAGAUGAUUGGGACU